rnacentral:RNase_P_RNA from 2 species
ACGUUCAGGUAAUCGCUGCAGUCUUUAGGGCUGUAGAGGAAAGUCCAUGCUCGCACGGUGCUGAGAUGCCCGUAGUGUUCGUGCCUAGCGAAGUCAUAAGCUAGGGCAGCCGGGUGAUCCGGCUGACGGCAGGGAAGGGGCCUAAGUCUUCGGAUAUGGCUCUGCUACCUUGAAAGUGCCACAGUGACGUAGUCCUCAGGGAAAUCUGAGGAGUGGAACGCGGUAAACCCCUCGAGCGAGAAACCCAAAUAUAGGUAGGGGCACCUUCUCUUAGGAACUGAACACGGAGAAGGCCGGAAGCUUUAAGCUUCCGUAGAUAGAUGAUUACCACCGGAGUACGAGGUGAUACCGGCCGUUUGCAGUACAAAGGGACAAAACAUGGCUUACAGAA